rnacentral:lncRNA from 1 species
AGAUCUGCAGCAUCUUCUUGUUACACUCAAACAGAGAAUAGAUUGAAUAAAAACGAAUGUACUGGUCCGUGAAUAGAACAACAUCUUAUGUUUUUAUGUAAUUCAUAUGUAUUGUUCUCGAAAUCAAACAAGAGAGGAUAACGACCUAAAUUGUAACGUUUUGACCUUGAGGUAUUUACAGACAAAACUCAGAACAUUGUACUCCUUAUUAGAGCUAGAUUCAUACAUCCAACCUGAUCCACAUCGAUCCUGCACAUUUUGAGAUUGAAGUGUUAAAAGCCAUCAUCUCGAAUGGGCGUAUUAUAGACAAUUUUUUACCUUGAAAAUUGGAAGGAAUUCUAAUAUAUAAGAUAGAUGAACCAAACAAUUUAUCACCAAUUGGUUUUUACGUUGGAAGUUCAUCUAAAUUAACAUGACUCUAGGCAGAUCAUACAUAGAUCAAGAACAACACUCUUUUGUGCCAGGUUUAAACCUGGUGAGAGAAGAGUUUUAUAUGGUGCAACCUAAUAAUAUGUAGUAAAAAAGAUUCAGCUCUCUUAGCUAGCAUAAUUUUGUGAGAGACGACCUUGACAAUUUUCGCUAAGGCAUCAAGUAACUCCACCCUAAUGAAUCAUCUUCCUCCAGAGAGGGAGAUCCAAAAAUUUCGUAGCAAUCUUCCGCUAAGGAGAGCUAUGAGUUUGAUAUUGAGGACGUGUUUGAAGAAUUAAACAGUGAUGUUGUAACCUGGGAAUAAGGAGGACGGGUUCGAAGGGAAGAUGAAAUAUUUAGAUUGUUGAAAGUUGAUCAUCCUUUGCUUCGAUGUCUCUCUCAUACUCCGAACCUCUCUCAUGGUUUGUAAAUUGUAAUUUUAAGGU